CCGGGAUUGAUUGUCUUUUGACAUCAUCUCCAUGACCCUUUUUGUUUAUUCAAAAUGUCUUUUUUCUUCGGCAAGACGUCUUUUUUUGACUCUCUCCUUUUGGGGAAGUUUUUUCAAAGCCAUUGACUGGUCUGAGAGGACAAGUGAAUGUGUUUGCUUGCCGAAGUCUUUUACUCUUUAUUAUUGAAGUCUGAGUAUACAAACAAAUAAAUUA
rnacentral:misc_RNA from 1 species